rnacentral:ncRNA from 2 species
GUAAACCUUCGUCGUGAUGGUUCCUCUCGCUUGCCUUGGGGUGGGCAGAGGUGAAAAGGGAACGCGGUCAGGGGCUGUUUCCUCCCGAACCCGCGGCUGCCCCCGCAACUGUAUGCGGAGAGGAUGCGCCCGUUUUGAGAAGCCACUGGUUUCGGCCCCGACGACCACCGGGGGCCGUUUCGAACCGGGAAGGCUGGGGCGCCGAUCCUUUGACCCGCGAGCCAGGAGACCUGCCAUCGCUGUCGCGUGCGC